rnacentral:rRNA from 1 species
CCUACGGGAGACAGCAGUGAGGAAUAGUGGUCAAUGGGCGCGAGCCUGAACCAGCCAAGUAGCGUGAAGGAUGACUGCCCUACGGGUUGUAAACUUCUUUUAUAAAGGAAUAAAGUGAGGCACGUGUGCCUUUUUGUAUGUACUUUAUGAAUAAGGAUCGGCUAACUCCGUGCCAGCAGCCGCGGUAAUACGGAGGAUCCGAGCGUUAUCCGGAUUAAUUGGGUUUAAAGGGAGCGUAGAUGGGUUGUUAAGGCAGUUGUGAAAGUUUGCGGCUCAACCGUAAAAUUGCAAUUGAUACUGGCAGUCUUUAUUACAGUUGAGUUCGGCGUACUUCUUGUUGUAGC